rnacentral:tRNA from 1 species
GCCCUGGUGGCGGAAUUGGUAGACGCGUCGGCUUGAGGGGCCGGUGAUCGCAAGAUCGUGAAAGUUCGAGUCUUUUCCAGGGCA